rnacentral:rRNA from 1 species
AUUGAACGCUGGCGGCAGGCCUAACACAUGCAAGUCGAGCGGAGCGGCGGACGGGUGAGUAAUGCCUAGGAAUCUGCCUGGUAGUGGGGGAUACCGUCAGGAAACGGGCGCUAAUACCGCAUACUAUCAGAUGAGCCUAGGUCGGAGUAGAUAGUUGGUGGGGUAAAGGCCUACCAAGGCGACGAUCCGUAACUGGUCUGAGAGGAUGAUCAGUCACACUGGAACUGAGACCCGGUCCAGACUCCGACGGGAGUCAGCAGUGGGGAAUAUUUGACAAUGGGCGAAAGCCUGAUCCAGCCAUGCCGCGUGUGUUAAGAAGGUCUUCGGAUUGUAAAGCACUUUAAGUUGGGAGGCGUUACCAACAGAAUAAGCACCGGCUAACUUCGUGCCAGCCGCCGCGGUAAUUC